CUUGCAGCAGACAAGUGGCAUGGCCUUCUGACUCCCAGGCCUGUGCUCUACCCACUACACCAUGCUGCUUCUCUCGUCCAGUGAUGAACACAAAGAGGAGAGAAAGCAGAAGCCCAUCUACUUUCUGCCCCCUGGAGAAGUCUCCCAGACAAUCCUGCUCAGAGGGGCCAAGGAAGGAGCCUGAGCCCCAGAUGCAUCCUGGGAGACCCAGCCCCCUGCUCCAUCCCCGCCUCUCCACGGACAUGUUGGUGCAGACAGGACGGAAGCCAUAGCGCAGCGCCGAACUGGACCACCUCGCGCCGAGGGAAGUGGACGACUGACCAGCUAUUCACCGGAUGCCAUGGACACUCAUAGAUUGCGCCGGCCCCACUGUGAGGGAAUUGGUUGGCACCAGGCUGCUCCCCGCUCCCGUCCCCCAGCCCGCAACUGUGUAUCCCCUCCUUCCAGAUCAUGCCAUUUCCUUUGUGGGUCAAGGGUCAAACACUGCAUCAUGGGUGCCAAACCAGUUCCUUGCAACUCCAGGAGGGGAUGGAGGUGUGUGUGUGUGUGUGUGUGUGUGUAUGUGCCUCAUGCAUGAGAGUGAGGGCUGGGACCAGAGCAGGGUGAGAGGGACUGCCCCUCUUUGGAUGGGUAGAGGGUUAUGGAAACAGGGGCCUAGAGUUCUGGACAGGUGCUCCAAGGACGGACCUCCAGAGCGGGUGUGAAGUCGACCUGGGGCCCUUAAUUCUAUAGUCAGUGCGACUUCGUCCCGCCCUGGGCCGUUGGGAGUUAUCUGCCCAGCUCUGGCUUCAAGAGUACAGACUCCCUUUCCCACCCAAGGGGGGUGCCCCUAGGGGAGCGGGGUUUAGGGGCAGGAAGACUCAAGAGUGUGUGUAUCUAUGUGUAUGUGUGUGUGACUACCCUAUGUCCUCCAUCCCUCCUGGAUGAGCAGAAUGAAGGGGGGAGAGGACUAGCACCAAAUCCUAGAGAGGGAAGAUGCAAAGUGGUUUCCCCCUAUCCUUUCAACAGAAGUGGCAUGUUCUGGCCCCCUCCUCUCUUUGUCCCUUCUCGCUCCCCUUGGAAACCUGGGCUCUGAAAGCCCAAAUGCAUCUGUAUGGAAUAAAAUGUAUAUAUUCUGCAUCAAGCCUG